UCUUUAUCCAUAUGUUCUUUUCCUUUUUAAAUUGAAGUACACACUUGAUUUUGAUAUAGUAAUAAAUUAAAAGAUGGCACAAAUGGUAAGACCAACUGAAAAGUUCCCACAAGAAGAUCAAGACAUGCAAAAUCUCCAUGUAAACAAAACCCAAGUUGGUCAAGUCAAUCAUGAUCAGCUUUGUGAGUACCUCCAUAAUCAGCAACUGCAACCACAAGAUGGUGCGCAGCUUGAAGGCAAAAUUGUUGCACUUUCCUUGUCAUCAGCAGAGGCCUCAAAUCACAACAUGCACAAGUGAUCAUUUAAUUAGUGAGAUGUCUCCAUAUAUAGCUUGAAAUCAAUAAAUAAGAUAGAAGAAGUGAAAAGGUGGAAAUAUUAAUUUUCACCAUAAAGUUAAGUUAUUUGUUCAGAUUAAAAUACUAGGAGGUGAUUAGCGGCGUAGCCAAGAUUUUGUAUAAGUGAUGUCUGUUUAUUGUCACAAUUCAUUUUGUAAAUGUGUUUGCAUUUGGAAUUAGUAGUGGAUUUAAGGAGUUACUUUGUAUUA